GCUUGCGUGGCUCAGUGGUAGAGUACUGGCUCCCACGCAGCCAGAGGUCGCGGGUUCGAUCCCCGCCGGGAUCG